rnacentral:lncRNA from 1 species
GCAGAGUUUCACUGCAAAAGAUCUUUAAUCAAUUAGAUGUACUUAUUUUCCUAUUUGCAGUAAUUUAACAUUUGAAUUAAGCAUAUUGAAAAAUGCAGCAGAUAUAUUCUGAUUUUAUCAAAAAUAAUGUCUCUGUAUAUUGUGGCUAUAAUUCUAGGCAGUAUGAAACUGUGGUUCCACUCGAAGAUUCCAUUGUGACUGAGGUUACAGCAACUCUUCAAGAAUGGGCCAGUCUGUGGAAACAACUAUAUGUUGUAAGUAUUUGUUUAUAGUUUACUGUAGCAUUAAAAUUCUUUUGUACCAAGUAAAUAUAUAUUCUAACCUAACCCAAUCUACUGUUUGAAAUUUUUUAAUAUUUUCAAAUGUAUAUUCCUAAUAUUAACCAAAACAUAGUAGACUAGGUUUUUUCCAACCUGAAGAGAACAUAUUCAUACGUCUGUAGUCUCUCUACCCUACUUUAGUCACUAGAAUGUAAUUUUCAUAGCAUUAAGAAUCUUAGCUAUCUUAUGGUUUUCUGUGUGCUACAUGCUUUUAUAAAAAUGAAUAAACAAUGCAUGAGAAGAGUUUAACUUUUAUUGUUUGUGAUCCUAAUAGUGACUAAUGACCAGGGAAUUGUAUGUAGUAAUUUCUUACAACUACUAAGCCUAGAGGAUAUACCAUAUAUAACAUUUUGUUAGGCUAACAAUUAUUUGAAAAUAUAAAAGAAAUGAAAUAAAGACCAAGUAUUAUAAAAAUCCUCUAUGAACUUAAGAAAGUUGAAGAUGAUAAAAUAUCAAAUAAUUAUAAUAUCUGCACUAAAAAUAAAUAACAGUAUUUGAGUUCUGAAUGAGAUAGCCAUUUACAUUCCGCUUAAGGUCUGGCUGGGUUCUAUAUAUGAUGCAGUACACAUAUUCCAAUUUAGUUCUUUUACUAAUUAUAGCAUCUAGGCAAACUACCUACCAGAAAACUUCAAAAAUUAGUGAAAAGAAGGUAGACAGGCUAGGCACACUGAAAGCAUAAUUCACAAAAGAACAGCUUUAUAAAAUGGACUUAUAAAGACUACCAUCUUUUGCUCUCUGAAUGACCGUAUUAAGAGGAUGAAAAGAUAAGACUAUAGACUGGAAGAAAAUAUGUAUAAGUCACAUAUUCCUCAAAAGGCUUAUAUCUAGAACAUAUAAAGAAGUCCCUAAACUGAAUUAUAAUAAAGUAAUUUGGUUAGAAAAUGAGCAAAUGACUUGAAUAGAUAUUUCAUUAAGGAGGAUAUAGGCAGCCAGUAAGCAUGUGAAAAAGAUUUCCAUGUGGUUACUCAGUCAUUCAUUAAAUGUAUUCAUUAUAGUAAUACAAAUGAAUACUACAAUGCUAAUGUUCUAUUUAAAAUAUAAAUGUUAGCACUUUUCUAUGUAAUUUCAAGUCUAAUCAGUAAUUAACAACUUCUUGAGUUCAUAUGAUUCUUAAAUCAUAAUAAUUAUAUAAAUAGGAACUAUACUCAUUUUCCUAAUAUACUCUUUAAUUUUUCUUUACUAUUCAAGAAAAUAAAUCAAACAGAUAUGAUUAAUAGGGGAUAGAUCUUUGAUGGAGAGUAAUAUAAUUCAUAUAAUUCUUACAUUAACUCAUUAAAAACAAUAAGAUUUAUAAGAUAUUAAUUUCAUAUUGAUGAUAAUAGUAUUACUAUUACCGUCAUGUGGUGUUUAAUGAUGGGGAAAAAUUCUGAGAAAUGCUUCAUUAGGUGAUUUUACUGUUGUGCAUACAUCACAAAGUGCUUAUGCAAACUAAGAUGGCUGACGUGGGCCACCAUUAUAUAUGUAGUCUGUUGUUAACUGAAACACAUGAAUGUAAUUAACAUAUGCUUACUUUGUGCCCAUUUGUCAUAUUUUACAUUCAUUGUUUUGUUUUAAUUGUCAUCACAAUUAUUAUCCUUUUCAGAUUACAGAUUGGAAACUGAAACUUAAAAAGGAUAAGGAAUAUAUCCAAAGUCAUAUAAGCAGUGAGUGUACAUCAAGAACCCAAACCAUUAAACUCAUUAAACUCCAGGGCUUUAAUAAAGGCAUUAUUUUAUCUUUUGGAUUAUUCUUUUAAUAUCUCACAUUUAGUUUUAGUAGCUGCCUAUUACUGUCUUAUGAUAGGAAAUUGAUUAUCUGUAAGUGGCAUUCUUUACCCUAGAUAGAAAUAAUGCCUCUUUAAACAGAUAUUUUUUUCUUUUUCAAGUAAGAAUACACAGUCUGAGUUUAGUAUGGCAGGUCUACAGUUAUCAAUGACUCAGGCUCAUUGAUUCUCAAUACAGGAGCUAAAAAUACACACACACACAAACACACACACACAUCAGAGAAAAGAGCUUUUUCAACAAAUGGAGCUGGAAAAUUGAACAUCAACCUGUAAAAGAUUGAAACUAGAUCCCCAUCUCUUACCCUAUACAAAGUUCAACUGAAAAUAGAUUGAAGACCUCAGUGUAAGACCUGAAAUUACUAGAGGAAAAUGUAAAAGAAACACUUCAGAUACUGAUAUAGGCAGUGAUUUCCUGAAUGGGAUUCUAGUCGCUCAGUAAUUAAUAACAAGAAUUGCCUAAUGAGAUUAUAUCAAAUUAAAACACUUCUUUACAACAAAGGAAGAAGAGUGUAGAGAUAGCCUAGAAAUGGGAGAAAAUCUAUUCCAGUUAUUCAUCUGACCAAGGAUUAAUAUCCAGAAUGUAUAAAGAACUUGAAACAUAACACCAAAAUAAUAAGUGAUCCAAUCAGUAAAUGGCAAAUGAGCUGAAGAGACAUUUCUGAAAAGAAGUAAAGAUAUUCAACAAAUAUAUGAAAAAAUGUUCCUUACCAUUAGUCAUUAGCGAAAUGCAAAUCAAAACUACAAUGGCCACAAUUAGAAUGGCCAUUACCAAGAAAACAAAAAUUAGCAAAUAUUGGCAAAGAUUCAGGGGAAUAGGAACCCUCAUACACUCUUGGUAGGAAUGUAAACUAAUACAGCCACAAUAGAAAACAGUAUUGAGGUUUCUUAAAAAACUAAACCAGAAUUGCCAUAUGAUCAUGCUAUGCCACUAAUAGGUAUAUAUCUGAAGACAGCAAAGCCAGCAUACAGUAGAGAUACCUGCAUACACAUGUUUAUCAUGCAACUAUUCAUUAUAGCCUAUAAAAUCAGCCUAGAUACUCAUCAAUGUAUAAAGGGAUAAAGAAAAUGUAGAAUAUAUACACAAUUAUUAUUUCGCAAUAAAGAAAAAUGAAAUUAUGUUAUUUGCAGGAGAAUGUUUGUAACUGAAGAUCAUCAUGUUAAACAAAAUAAGCCAGCUCAGAAAAAAAAAUAUCAUAUUUCUUUCAUAUAUAGAAUCUUUAACAAUAAUAACAAAACCCAUGACAUGAAAGUAGAAGAGAAACUUUUAGGAAAGGGAGAAUAGGGGACGGUGGAUAUGGUCAAAAUUCAUCAUAUGCAUGUAUGGAAAUUGUCACAAUGAAACCCAUUUACUAUGCAAUUAAUAUAUAUUAGUAGUUAAAUACAUUAAAAUAACAAGCACUUGGGCUUAUUUUGUCCUCCUGCUUUAUUGUCCUCUUUAUUAUACUUCAGCCUGGUGGUCCCAGAUGGCUAAUACUAUACAGCAUAUCUAUAGUCUGGCUUGUAGAAUGAAAGAAAGAAAGAAAAAAAAGGAAUCUGCCUUUUAAAAAAAAAAGAAUACUUCUUAAAAGUUGUGGAAAACAUUCCCUGCUUACUGCAUAUUGGUUAAAAUUGAAAUCACAAAGUAAUCUCUAGAUUAAACAGGCUGAGAACUGGUCUUUAUUCCAAAUGACCAUAUAUUAGCCAAAUAUCAUGGUUUCUAUUACUAUGGAAAAAGAGGAAAAUGAAUAAUGAGGAAUCACCUACAAGAACACCAUAGUGAUGAUGACUCUUGUUUCCAUAUAAAGCUCUAAUGAACUUCCUUUGCUAAAUCUGUUUAAGAAAUAGUGGAAUUCAGCAGCCCAUAGAAUAUUUUAUUUAUAUGGAACAAUGAAUUUUAGGUAAAACAUAGAAAAGUGAUAAAGGUAUUGUAUUGUUAAUAAUCAGUAGAUUCACCUAAGCUUUCCUUUACAUUUUUUUCACAAUUUGAUAUGCAUUUGUGAGGAUAAAUAUAUGUGCAUAAAAGUUAAAAUGGUACCAACAUGAUAUCUUCUGUUAGAGUAGAUAACAAUAAAAAAUGUUUUGAAUAAAUCAGAGCUGCUAUUUGAUGUAAUAAUUUUGAAAAUUUAACCUUUGAAAAAUCUUCUAGGUGUGCAUUCACACCUGAUACACUUGUUUUUCCAGACAUGGUGGGGGUGGGCGUGGACAUGAAAGGGGAGAUAAUUGAAAAGAAGAUGGUUUCAAACAAUAAUUUUUAUACUUUUUCUCAGAAUUUUUUUGUAUGUAUGUGGUCUUGGGGAUUAAGCCCAGGGACAUACUACCACUGAGCUCUAUCCCCAGCCCUUUUAUAAAUUUUGAUAUAUGAUUAGCCAAGUCUGACUUCAAACUUGUGAUCCUGUUGCCUCAGCCUCCUGAUUCAUUGGGAUUAUAGGCAAGUGCCAUGAAGCCAGCUAAAAGAAGUUUGAAAUUGCUAAUAUGUCUAGACAUUUUUCAGUUUUAUGAAUAAGAUCUUGUUGCUUUUUUUUUUCAUUUCAACAGCAGUGUUGCUUGUUAGUUUUAGCCUACUGUUUACAUGACAAAUGUCAAAUGAUUGUUUUCAUUCUGUUAUGCACAUGGGAGGUCAGAUACAUAGCCAACUAGAUUUUAAAAUGUGAAUUUAUUCUAGUGUUUAAUUCUAGUAAAAAGUCAUAACUCUUAAGCAGGUUUUCAAACUUCAUGGGACAGAAUACAAAAAACUACCAAGCAGGCACAGUUUAAAUGUGUUACUAUAAGACUUAAUCCAAAUAAACAAAAGUCAUAUUCAAAUUUGUCUUUCUACUGGAAUAGAAGAAUCUGUUAUAUUACUAAAAUUAGGCAGGAAACUCAACAGUUCUCCCUUUGUUUUCCCUACUUAAUUCCAAACCUCAUAGUUGUUUCUUAAUCUAAGUUUACUAAGAGGCAGUUAAUUACCUGGCUAUCAGCAAGAAGAAGUACUAAUGUUUAACCAGAAUGAAUCUAGCCAAUAGCCUCUCAAUACUAAUUUGUCUGACUUUGAAAACACAAGGAAAAUAUAAAUAAAUGAUAAAUGGUAAAGUAUGAGAAAUAAGUCUUAAGUUUAUGACUAUAAAGAUGGAUUUCUUUCUAUAGAAAGAAUGUAUAAAAAUUAGUAAGAAAACCAGUGAAGACCCCAAUACAUAAUCAGUAAAAACAAAAAUAAGCCAUUUUCAAACACUAGACUAGGGAAAUGACCACUCUUAACUAAUGAUCAAAAGAGAUGUAAAUGAAUUCAAUGAGAUAAUAAUUUUCCUUUUAAUUAACAGAUAAAAUGGAAAUUAUCUUCUGCUAUCGAAAUCCAUUGAUGGAUACCUUCAUUCUUUGCUGCUGGAUAUCAAGUUUUGUUAGCACAAUUGGAAAAAAAACCUUAAAAAAUUUUCAGAUUCUAGUAAUUCUAAUCCUGAGAAUUUUAAGAGGAUGUAAAUAUAGUAUGGGGUGAGUCUAUUCCAUAAGUAUGUCCAUUGCAGCAUAAUUUCAGUAGCAAAAAUAAGUUUACUAAUUGUUCCAAUUAUGGUCCAUUUAAGAUUGAUGACUUAGUGUUUUCAUGUAAAAAGCCAUUAAAAAUUUAAAUGUUAUGCAAUAAAGUGAAGGUGUAUGUACAAAUAAUAUGUAAAGUAUGAUCUUAUCUGUAUUCUGAAAAUAUGUUUGGAAAUAGAUGAGGAAUAUGUACCAAAAUAUUAGUGGCAAUUACCUGAGCAUUAAUUUCUUCUAUUUUCAAAUUUUUCAGUUGUAAAUAUUUAUUGUUUUAAUGGUUAGGAAAAAUAAAAUGGUACUUUCACUUAUAAAAUAAGCACAACAAAUGAUAAUAUGAAAUAAUACUACCAAUAUUGUCAUUAAGUAGUGUCUACAAGAACUUAAAAAGGAUUAUGCUACUUAAUUUGCUAUGUUUCAUGCUUAUCACAUUGUUAGCAAGCAUUUAUUAGAUUCUUUUGGGGGGUAUACUCUCAAACCUUUUUAUUUUUUGAGACAGGGUCUUGCUAAGUUGCUUAGGGACUUGCUAAAUUGAUGAGGCUGGCUUUGAGCUGUGAUCCUUCUGCCUUAACCUCCCAAGCUACUGGGAUUACAGGCAUACACUAUUGCACCUGGCCAUAUUGAUUAAAUUCUAAUGUAGUUUUUGUGGAAUAGAAAAGAGCUUUGGACUUGAACUUGAAUCCGAGUCUGCCAUCUUCAAUGUUAAAGGCUUGGUAUUAGAUCUUAGUUUUUUUUGUGCUAUGACUAGGUAUUAUAAGCCCACUUCAAAGAGGUCUUAAAAUGAAAUAAUAUAUAAUUCAAGUAGUCUAUAGAUAUUAAUUGCACCGUCCUGUUUUUGAUAUACAUUAUAUUUCUGUGUGUAUACAUGUUUGGCAUCUAUUUCCUAAUAAUAGAGUGAUAGUAGUUUCAUCACUUAAGUUUCUCUGUAUAUAGAAAUAAAUAGACAUAAUGAAGUGGAUUUCAUUUGUAUAAUGGGGUGUUUGGAUAAGAAAAUAUGCAUGUAUGUGUACACACAAUAAACACACACCGAUACAUGUAAAAUACGUACAUGCACAUUUGAACCAGGAUAGAAAAAACCCCAUCCUUCUAAAGUGGUUAAUACAAUAAUCUCCCGAUAGAUGGUGGGAUGAGAUAGACAUCAUUACUCUUAGGUUCAUAUAUGAUUGCAUGAAUGGCACAACUCUACAUUGUGUACAACCAGAGAGUUGAAAUGUUGUGCUCCAUUUGUGUAUGAUGCUUUGAAAUGCAUUCUGCUGUCAUGUACAACUAAGUUGAACAAAUAGAAAAAAAUAACCUCCCUAAUCAGUAAUUUUAUUUUGACAGGAAAAAAAUUACCUGAGAACUAUCAGUUGUGGAAAAUGGUGACAUUAUUAUGUAUUCCUGUCUAAAC